AGCAGCCGCGGUAAUUCCAGCUCCAAUAGCGUAUAUUAAAGUUGUUGCAGUUAAAAGCUCGUAGUUGAAUUUCGGGACUAAUAUGUCGGUCGUGCCUCGGUACGCACUGGCUUAUUGGUUUCUCCUUUCUGAAGAACCAUGAUGUCAUUUAUUUGGUGUCGUGGGGAAUCAGGACUGUUACUUUGAAAAAAUUAGAGUGUUUAAAGCAGGCUCACGCUUGAAUACAUUAGCAUGGAAUAAUGAAAUAGGACGUUUGAUUCUAUUUUGUUGGUUUCUAGGAUCGACGUAAUGAUUAAUAGGGAUAGUUGGGGGCAUUAGUAUUCAAUUGUCAGAGGUGAAAUUCUUGGAUUUAUUGAAGACUAACUACUGCGAAAGCAUUUGCCAAGGAUGUUUUCAUUAAUCAAGAACGAAAGUUAGGGAUCGAAGACGAUCAGAUACCGUCGUAGUCUUAACCAUAAACUAUGCCGACUAGGGAUCGGAUGAUGUUAAU
rnacentral:misc_RNA from 1 species